AACGAACGCUGGCGGCAGGCUUAACACAUGCAAGUCGAGCGCCCCGCAAGGGGAGCGGCCGACGGGUGAGUACCGCGUGGGAACGUACCUUUUGGUUCGGAACAACUCCGGGAAACUGGAGCUAAUACCGGAUAAGCCCUAACGGGGAAAGAUUUAUCGCCGAAAGAUCGGCCCGCGUCUGAUUAGCUAGUUGGUGAGGUAACGGCUCACCAAGGCGACGAUCAGUAGCUGGUCUGAGAGGAUGAUCAGCCACACUGGGACUGAGACACGGCCCAGACUCCUACGGGAGGCAGCAGUGGGGAAUAUUGGACAAUGGGCGCAAGGCUGAUCCAGCCAUGCCGCGUGAGUGAUGAAGGCCUUAGGGUUGUAAAGCUCUUUUGUCCGGGAAGAUAAUGACUGUACCGGAAGAAUAAGCCCCGGCUAACUUCGUG
rnacentral:rRNA from 1 species